GGGGGGGCGAAGCGUUGUUCGGAAUUACUGGGCGGUAAAGGGACGCGCAGGCGGCCCGGCCAAGUCCUACGUGAAAUACCCACCAGCUCAACUGUGGAACUGCGUGGGAUACUGCCAGGCUUGAGUCCGGGAGAGGAGAGUGGAAUUCCCAGUGUAGCGGUGAAAUGCGUAGAUAUUGGGAGGAACACCGGUGGCGAAGGCGGCUCUCUGGACCGGUACUGACGCUGAGGCGCGAAAGCUAGGGGAGCAAACGGGAUUAGAUACCCCGGUAGUCCUAGCCGUAAACUUUGAGCACUUGGUGUGGCGGGUAUCGACCCCCCUGCCGUGCCGAAGCUAACGCAUUAAGUGCUCCGCCUGGGGGAGUACGGUCGCAAGGCUG
rnacentral:rRNA from 1 species